rnacentral:lncRNA from 1 species
GCAAACUAUGCCUAUCAUGGUUUUUAAUUUCAUACAAUCAUUGGCCAUUCAUCACAUAAAUCCUCAGCAGAUUCAAUGAGAACUGGGCCAAUACCUAGGCUUUAAAGUGUCCCUUUUUGAAAACACACUAUGGGAAGAAAACUCAGAAAAAAAACAACUUAUCAAAAUCCAGAAUCGUAAGGUGAAUCAUGUCAAAUUUAAGCAAUGUUAAUAAAUCGUUAAAAUCAUUUUCAGCACAAGUUUAUAAACAGAAUAUUCAUAACAAACUAAUUUUUCAUGAUGUCCUUCAAACUGCAUAUGGUAUGUCAUCAAUUUGUCCCUACCCUACACUAGCCAUUUCAACCAAUCCAGAUUACAAUCUUCACCCAAACAUGAUCAUUGUUACAACCACAAGGAAAGCACAUCCAAUAUACAGUAAUUCAACCCAAGCCUGUUAUUGCAGCAUCUAAGAGAUUCCAAAUCAAAUACAAACAUGAAAGAUAACUAUUUCAAAUACCAAAUCAAUUGACAUAUUAUGAUUCACAUUAUGAAAGACACAAAAAUGAGGAAUGCUAUUGAAUCGCAAGAAAAUAUGCUUCCACCCUUUAAAUCUUGUUUUUCAUUUCAUUUCUUCCAAUCCAGCUUUACAUUAACUAAAGUUCAAAUAUGUGUACUUGGAUUUUGAAGGAACACAAAAACAAUGAGGGAUCAACAUCAUUAACAACAAAAAUCAGAACCAACAAUGAUCAAUAAACCAAUUUUCAAACCCCCAGCAAAUGAUGUGCAACAAUCAGAACUUAGUUUCAAUAGAAAAAUGACUUAAACUUCAAACCAAACUUCUACAAUCCACAUUCAAUCCAUUCUAACUCCAUAUGAGAGAUCAUUGAUUUUUCAGAAAUUAAAGAAAAGAAUAAAAAAACCUUGAACAAUUUUAGUGGAACAGUAAAACAGCUGUUUGCCUUUUUUCAG